ACAGUAGCGAUGGUGUGGCAAGGGAAAACUGGUGGAAAGGAAGGCUUUAUUGGCAAGUAUGGACAAUCACUCAUAUAUAUUUGACUACAACACGUCAAAUUUGUUGUUCUCCAUAGAGCCUACUGCCCUCCAUGUCUCAACAAGCUUCUCUUCACCACCAAGAAUCCAUUCUCGUUUGCUUUCGACUCCUUGUUCAUUCUAUGCACUUCUCUAGCUCUGGCUUUGUCCCUGUUCGUCGCCCAUGUUGACUCGGCCUCUGCUUUAGGCUAGGUUGAAUUGUUCUAGUGAUGCCGAUUGAAAUUACUCGUGAAUACAUAUUUGAGAUGAGUUUAGAUUAUGUAGUUUUGAUAUGGGCUUGGAUUAUGCUAAGGGAAUCAAUGGAAUUAGGAGUAUAGAUGGAUAUGGGAUUGAGCAAAAUGAAGCUAAAAGGGUAUUGCAUUUGGCACCAAUAGGAAACUCUUGGGUUCUUCAGCUAAGGAAGUCAAAAGAACUAGUGGAGUCACUGAAAGCAUAGCUUGUGCCCUAUCAAAGUGGAAGAAGGGAAGGCCUCUUGGAAGGGGGACUUUGGUCAUGUUUAUGUCGGAUUUAACAUGGGUCGUAAUUCAUGGUGUCCUACUUUUCAUAACAUUGAUUGGAAAGAUAUUUGUGAACCUUGGUUCAGUGGGGGGUGAUCUAGCUUUACGCAGAGAAGGUCAUCUUGAUAAGUUGGGCAUCAGACAUUGAACUCUUUGGCAGUAUACCUGACUUCAUAGGAAAUUGGUCAAAGCUUACUUCCUUGGACUUGAUCUUCAACAAUCUAACUGGACAAAUACCAGACUCACUGUUUAAUUUGAGUUCUCUUUCCAUCCUGUAAUAUCUCAAGCGCUCUUACUUGUUUUAUUUUCC